AUGGCGACCGUCGGGUUCGGGCCGUACAGCGUCGCCACAGCGGGCGAGAAGAAUGAGCCGACGAGGCCGCUCGCCUGCCCGUCCCCGUCCGUCCACCCGGCGACCGAUGUGGACAUCGAGGUCCAGCAUGCCGCCGCGACCACCGCCAAGCGCCCGCGCUCCACGGGGUGCCUCCGCGGCCGCCGGUCCGUGCUCUGCUGCGGCGGCUGCUGCAUGGCCUCCGUGGUCAUCGCCGGGAUCGUCGCCCUCGUGCUCGCCCUCACCGUGUUCAAGGUCAAGGACCCCGUCUUCACCAUGAACCGCGUCACCCUGGAGGACGUCGACGGCGACUUCCUCGGCGCGGACGAGCGGCACCCGGUGUCCGUCAACGCCACGCUCAACGCCGACAUCUCCAUCAAGAACCCGAACGUGGCCUCGUUUAGCUACGACCGGAGCGAGACGAACUUCUACUACAAGGGGGAGACGGUCGGCGUGGCGUACGCCCCCGACGGCGAGGUCGGCGCCGACCGGACCGUGCGGAUGAACGUCACGCUCGACGCGCUCGCCGACCGGAUCUCCCCCAACGUCAACGUCACCGACCUCAUCUUCGGCCAGAGCCAGGACUACGACCUCACCAGCUACACGGAGAUCAGCGGGAGAGUGAGCGUGCUGGGGAUCUACAAGAGGGACCUCGACAUCAAGGUGAACUGCUCCAUUACCUUGGAGGUCAGCGCCUUUAGCUCAGUGCGGAGUAAAACUACGGACUGCGUUGCAAACGUGAAGUAA
rnacentral:rRNA from 1 species